CAUAAAAAGCAUACCAGCACUAAUGCACCGGAUCCCAUCAGAACUCCGAAGUUAAGCGUGCUUGGGCGAGAGUAGUACUAGGAUGGGUGACCCCCUGGGAAGUCCUCGGUUUUCGGGU
rnacentral:rRNA from 1 species